rnacentral:SRP_RNA from 1 species
GCCAGGCGCAGUGGCUCACGCCUGUAAUCCCAGCACUUUGAGAGGCGGCGGCGGGCGGAUCACGACGUCAAGAAAUCGAGACCAAUCUGGCUAACACAGUGAAACCCCGUCUCUACUAAAAAUGCAAAAUAAGGCNGCCCGGCUAAUUUUUUGCAUUUUUAGUAGAGACGGGGUUUCACUGUGUUAGCCAGAUUGGUCUCGAUUUCUUGACGUCGUGAUCCGCCCGCCGCGG